GCCCCACUGGCGCAAUGGUAGCGCGCAAGACUUCUAUUGUGAUAUCUUGAGGUUGCGAGUUCGAGCCUCGCGUGGGGUU